rnacentral:rRNA from 1 species
UACGGAGGGGGCUAGCGUUGUCCGGAAUUACUGGGCGUAAAGCGCACGUAGGCGGCUUUGUAAGUUAGAGGUGAAAGCCCAGGGCUUAACCCUGGAAUUGCCUUUAAAACUGCAUCGCUAGAAUUGUGGAGAGGUAAGUGGAAUUCCGAGUGUAGAGGUGAAAUUCGUAGAUAUUCGGAAGAACACCAGUGGCGAAGGCGACUUACUGGACACAUAUUGACGCUGAGGUGCGAAAGCGUGGGGAGCAAACAGG